rnacentral:sRNA from 1 species
GAUGCCAGGGUCAAAAGACCAGAAUGCCGUUCUUGCUUGCAGGAUAAGACAUUUGGACCUGGGACCCGCCAGACAUGAGGAAUCAGCCAUUUACAGAGUAAAUGUACGGAUUCCGAAUGUUGAUGGAAUUGCGGGAGUUACUUUGUAACGGAGCAAUUCUGG